rnacentral:rRNA from 1 species
CCUACGGGUGGCAGCAGUGAGGAAUAUUGGUCAAUGGCCGGAAGGCGGAACCAGCCAAGUCGCGUGAAGGAAGAAGGAGCGAUGGUGUGUAAACUUCUUUUAUAGGGGAAGAAAGAGAACCACGUGGGGAUAUUUGCAUGUACCCUAUGAAUAAGCAUCGGCUAACUCCGUGCCAGCAGCCGCGGUAAUACGGAGGAUGCGAGCGUUAUCCGGAUUUAUUGGGUUUAAAGGGUGCGUAGGUUGUUUUUUAAGUCAGCGGUGAAAGUUUGUGGCUCAACCAUACAAUUGCCGUUGAAACGGGCAGCCUUGAUUGUGUUUGCGGUAGGCGGAAUUCGUGGUGUCGCG